rnacentral:rRNA from 1 species
AGAGUUGAUCCUGGCUCAGGAUAAACGCUGGCGGCGUGCGUAACACAUGCAAGUUGAGCGACGACGUUCUGAAGCAGAGAUGUGGAUGAGCGAGCGGAGCAGCGGACGGGUGAGUACAACAUGAGAAGCUGUCCUGAAGUGGGGGACAACGUCUGGAAACGGACGCUAAUACCCCAUAGGCCGAGAGGUUAAAGCCGCAAGGCGCUUUAGGAGGUGCUCGUGUCCUAUCAGCUAGUUGGUGAGGUAAGGGCUCACCAAGGCGACGACGGGUAGCCGGCCUGAGAGGGUGUACGGCCACACUGGGACUGAGAUACGGCCCAGACUCCUACGGGAGGCAGCAGUGGGGAAUAUUGGGCAAUGGGAGGAAUCCCUGACCCAGCGACGCCGCGUGAACGAAGACGGCCUUAGGGUUGUAAAGUUCUUUUAUGUGGGAAGAAGGAAGUGACGGUACCACAUGAAUAAGCCCCGGCUAACUACGUGCCAGCAGCGGC